UACAGAGGUCCCAAGCGUUGUCCGGAUUUACUGGGCGUAAAGAGCGCGCAGGCGGUCGUUCAAGGCGAGUGUGAAAGCCCCCGGCUCAACUGGGGAGGGUCACUUGAUACUGAUCGACUGGAAGGCAGGAGAGGGAAGCGGAAUUCCCGGUGUAGUGGUGAAAUGCGUAGAUAUCGGGAGGAACACCAGUGGCGAAGGCGGCUUCCUGGCCUGUUCUUGACGCUGAGGCGCGAAAGCUAGGGGAGCAAACGGG
rnacentral:rRNA from 1 species